CCCAAAUUAACUUCUUUCCCCCUUACCCUCAUUCAGUUAUCCUCUCCACCCUUUAAUCUUUCACAUUCGUAAAGGUCCUUUCAACCUCUCAAUUUCCUCCAUUUCAUCACUUCUGGUGAAAUGGAUGCUAAUUGAUGAGACUAGGUUAGGUGUUGAUUUGAGAUCAAAGUUUUAUUAUUACAGAGACACUCAUGAAAUUUGUUCACUUUGGAUGGAAUAACGAGUUUGAAUAUGCUCCAACAAGCAAGGAAAUUCAAUGAGGUAAUGUUUCAUUGGGUAUGAAUAAGGGUGUAA